AUAUCUCAACCUCUGAACCAUUGUGGUUUUUCCGAGGCCUUGGAUGUUGGAGGUUUAUGCUGGUGAAAUCACUCACUUGCUCCUCUUAAAUACAUUAGCGGAACUUAAUGGGAUUGGCUUUGGCUUGAUAAAUCUAUCUAUGCUAUCGCUGAGACCAAGUGCUUUUGCUUCUAACUGUCUUCGGACUGCCUUGUGCACUGUUAUAA
rnacentral:misc_RNA from 1 species